AUGCGCCGCGGCGCCGCCUUCCGCUCCUACGACGACUACCUGCGGCACCAGCUCAACAAGACCCUCGACCCGCGCCUCCGCCGCGUCUGGGCCACCCGCGACUGGCGCCGCAAGGUCGACGCCUUCGCGCGCGCCUUCCGGGCCCUCCAGGCCGAGGGCCUCCUCUCCAACGCCUCCCGCGCGCUCUGCGUCGGCGCGCGCCUCGGCCAGGAGGUCGCCGCGCUCCGCCUCGUCGGCGUGCCCGACGCCGUCGGCAUCGACCUCGCCCCGGCGCCGCCGCUCGUCCUCAGGGGCGACUUCCACGCGCAGCCCUUCGCCGACGGGGCCUUCGACUUCGAGUUCUCCAACGUCUUCGACCACGCGCUCUACCCGGACCGCUUCGUCGCCGAGAUCGAGCGCACGCUGCGCCCCGGCGGCGUCGCCGUGCUGCACGUCGCGGUGCACCGCCGCGGGGACAAGUACUCGGCCAACGACCUGCUCGACGUCGACGGCCUGCUCGCGCUCUUCCGGCGGUCGGAGGUGGUCAGGGUCUCCAAGGUCGACGCCUUCGGCCUGGACACCGAGGUCGUCCUCCGCAAGAAGAGGUCACCCUAG
rnacentral:rRNA from 1 species